GACAUAGGUGGCGAACGUUAUCCGGAUUUAUUGGGCGUAAGAGCUCGUAGGCGGCUUGUCGCGUCGUCCGUGAAAACCUGCAGCUCAACUGCAGGCUUGCGGGCGAUACGGGCAGGCUAGAGUUCGGUAGGGGGAGACUGGAAUUCCUGGGUGUAGCGGUGAAAUGCGCAGAUAUCAGGAGGAACACCGGUGGCGAAGGCGGGUCUCUGGGCCGAUACUGACGCUGAGGAGCGAAAGCGUGGGGAGCGAACAGG
rnacentral:rRNA from 1 species